ensembl:miRNA
UCACCCACACCUUUGCUGUCCAAAGAUCCCACAUUCAAUUCUGGUGACCGUAUAUCUUCCAAAGCUAAAACCAAGGGUGUGGGCCGAGA